CCCUAUCACUAGUUGCCAGCACGUCAAGGUGGGAACUCUAGUGAAACUGCCGUCGUAAGACGUGAGGAAGGAGGGGAUGAUGUCAAGUCAUCAUGGCCUUUAUGCCCAGGGCUACACACGUGCUACAAUGGUAGAGACAAAGGGCUGCUACUUGGUAACAAGCUGCUAAUCUCAAAAACUCUAUCUCAGUUCGGAUUGAGGUCUGCAACUCGACCUCAUGAAGCUGGAAUCGCUAGUAAUCGUAUAUCAGCAAUGAUACGGUGAAUACGUUCCCGGACCUUGUACACACCGCCCGUCAAGCCAUGAAAGCCGGGGGGACCUGAAGUCGGCAACCGCAAGGAACCGCCUAGGGUAAAAUCGGUAAUUGGGGCUAGAGUCGUAACAAGGUAGCCGUAUCGGAAGGUGCGGCUGGAUC
rnacentral:rRNA from 1 species